rnacentral:rRNA from 1 species
GUGGGGAAUAUUCCGCAAUGGACGAAAGUCUGACGGAGCAACGCCGCGUGAGUGAUGAAGGUUUUCGGACUGUAAAGCUCUGUUGUUUAGGACGAAAGUGCCUGUUGCAAAUAGUUACAGGUAUUGACGGUACUGAACGAGGAAGCCACGGCUAACUACGUGCCAGCAGCCGCGGUAAUACGUAGGUGGCAAGCGUUGUCCGGAAUUAUUGGGCGUAAAGAGCAUGUAGGCGGGAAUCUAAGUCUGUUGUGAAAAUGCGGGGCUCAACCCCGUAUUGCGAUGGAAACUGGGUUUCUUGAGUGCAGGAGAGGAAAGGGGAAUUCCCAGUGUAGCGGUGAAAUGCGUAGAUAUUGGGAGGAACACCAGUGGCGAAGGCGCCUUUCUGGACUGUGUCUGACGCUGAGAUGCGAAAGCCAGGGUAGCGAACGGGAUUAGAUACCCGAGUAGUCC